AUUGAACGCUGGCGGCAGGCUUAACACAUGCAAGUCGAGCGAGCGGCGGACGGGUGCGUAAUGUCUGGGAAAUGGCCUGAUGGCGGGGGAUAACUACUGGAAACGGUAGCUAAUACCGCAUACCAUCAGCUGUGCCCUGGGGGGAUUAGCUAGUAGGUGGGGUAAUGGCUAACCUAGGCGACGAUCCCUCGCUGGUCUGAGAGCAUGACCAGCCACACUGUAACUGAGACACGGUCCAGACUCCUACGGGAGGCAGCAGUGGGGAAUAUUGCGCAAUGGGCGAAAGCCUGAUGCAGCCAAGCCGCGGGUGUGAAGAAGGCCUUCGGGUUGUAAAGCUCUUUCAGCGGGGAAGCGGUACUCGAAGAGGAAGCACCGGCUAACUCCGUGCCAGCAGCCGCGGUAAUUG
rnacentral:rRNA from 1 species